GACGAACGCUGGCGGCGUGCUUAACACAUGCCAGUCGGACGGAAAGGCCCUGCUUUUGUGGGGUGCUCGAGUGGCGAACGGGUGAGUAACACGUGAGUAACCUGCCCUUGACUUUGGGAUAACUUCAGGAAACUGGGGCUAAUACCGGAUAGGAGCUCCUGCUGCAUGGUGGGGGUUGGAAAGUUUCGGCGGUUGGGGAUGGACUCGCGGCUUAUCAGCUUGUUGGUGGGGUAGUGGCUUACCAAGGCUUUGACGGGUAGCCGGCCUGGGAGGGUGACCGGCCACAUUGGGACUGAGAUACGGCCCAGACUCCUACGGGAGGCAGCAGUGGGGAAUAUUGCACAAUGGGCGGAAGCCUGAUGCAGCAACGCCGCGUGCGGGAUGACGGCCUUCGGGUUGUAAACCGCUUUCGCCUGUGACGAAGCGUGAGUGACGGUAAUGGGUAAAGAAGCACCGGCUAACUACGUG
rnacentral:rRNA from 1 species